UACGAAGGGGGCUAGCGUUGUUCGGAAUUACUGGGCGUAAAGCGCACGUAGGCGGAUAUUUAAGUCAGGGGUGAAAUCCCGGGGCUCAACCCCGGAACUGCAUUGGAUACUGCCUUGCUUGAGUACUGGAGAGGAGACUGGAAUUUACGGUGUAGCAGUGAAAUGCGUAGAGAUCGUAAGGAAGGCCAGUGGCGAAGGCGAGUCUCUGGACAGUUACUGACGCUGAGGCACGAAGGCCAGGGGAGCAAACGGG
rnacentral:rRNA from 1 species